rnacentral:rRNA from 1 species
GGGUAACAUGAAGAAAGCUUGCUUUCUUUGAUGACGACCGGCGCACGGGUGAGUAUCGCGUAUCCAACCUGCCCAUAAGUAGGGAAUAGCCUUGCGAAAGUAAGAUUAAUGCCCUAUGGUUUCCGUCGAAGACAUCUGAGAUGGAAUAAAGAUUUAUCGCUUAUGGAUGGGGAUGCGUCUGAUUAGGUAGUAGGCGGGGUAACGGCCCACCUAGCCGACGAUCAGUAGGGGUUCUGAGAGGAAGGUCCCCCACA